rnacentral:lncRNA from 1 species
AAAAGAUAAUGGAAGUGGCAGAAAAGGAAACCACGCUCCACAUCGUUGAUUUUGGCAUUUGCUAUGGGUUUCAAUGGCCUUGCCUCAUCCAGCGUCUCUCAGCAAGGGCUGGUGGACCUCCCAAGCUUCGUAUUACCGGUAUUGAGUUUCCACAACCAGGUUUCCGACCUGCAGAAAGGGUGGAAGAGACGGGGCGCCGCUUGAAAAGGUAUUGUGAGAGAUUCAAUGUCCCUUUUGAGUACUACGUGAUAGCAAAGAAAUGGGAAACUAUAGAACUUGAGGAAAUAAAGAUUAAUGAAGAUGAAGUUGUUGUUGUUAACUGCAUGUAUCGGCUAAAGAACCUACCAGAUGACACAGUGGCGGGAACCAGUGCGAGGGACACUGUUCUGAAAUUGAUCAGAAGCAUCAACCCUGAAUUAUUCAUCCAUGGGAUCGCAAGCGGUACAUAUAAUGCUUCCUUCUUUGAGACAAGGUUCCGGGAGGCACUCUUCCAUUUCUCUGCACAGUUCGAUAUAUUUGAAGCUAAUGUUCCCAGGGAAGAUCCACAAAGGAAGAUGUUUGAGAAGGAAGUACUUGGCAGAGACAUUAUGAAUGUUGUUGCAUGCGAGGGUACCGAAAGGGUUGAGAGGCCAGAAACGUACAAGCAAUGGCAGGCUAGGAAUUUGAGGGCCGGGUUCAAGCAAGUUCCAUUGGAUCAGGAGCUCAUGAAUAAAGUGACGAAUUUUGUCCAAUCUAGUUAUCAUAGGGAUUUUGUUAUAGAUGUGGAUGGCCGCUGGAUGCUGCAGGGGUGGAAGGGGAGAGUUAUUUAUGCCCUUUCAUGUUGGAAACCUGUCAGGAAUCAACUGUGAUGAGGAGUAAUAGUUCCGUCUGAAAAUCGCAGAUUAGUUUCUUUAGUAAUUUCUUCCAAGGGCAAUCACAUUAUUCAGUAGACUUACCAUCCUAUUUGGUGUAGUUUUAAACUAUGAACUCCUAGAAGUAAAGGUUGCAUUGCAUGUGUGUUAAAGCUCAUCAGCUCCAAUUUGCUCCAUUUAGAAUGAAUUCAUUUGCGUUCACAAGCAAGUAGAUGACAAAUCCUAUGCUUUUCUUUCCUUUUUCUCCAUGUUUGAAGGGGAAGUGUCUUUCCAGGGAUUGACUACAAGGCUGUCUCCAGAAGCACAGUGUUGCAAAUAAGUAUUCAUGAAAAGGUCCCUGGAAAUAAAUUUUGGAAUUUUAAGGAAACCAUUUCAUUUCUUACCGUAACCUGCCAUGACAUUAGCUUUACCAUUUCUCUGGUUACAUGCUUCAUUAUUAGAUGCAGGUAUGAUGGCGAUCAGAUGACAACCUUUUUGUGAUCAUUACUCAUGAUUCAGAUUUAUCAUAUGUUAGUUACAAAUGAUCAGAAUUGACAGACCAGAAACAUACAAGCAACAGUGGCAGUCGGAAAACGGGAAAGCUGGUUCCAGGUAGCUUCCUUUAGACCAAAGAUAUUGAAUAGGGCAAUGACAGUGUUGCAAUCAAACUACCAUAAGGUUUUUGUUAUUGAGGUGGAUUGCCAGUGGAUGCUUCGGGGAUGGAAGGAGAGAGUCAUCCAUGCUCUUUCCUGCUGGAACUGGCCAGGAGUGUGAGAGUUCUCAUAUUUCUAUUAAUUAACAUGACAGCCUGUUAAAGAAAAAUCCAAAAAUUGUUUCUGACAAGAAAAAAAACAUUGAAUAGAGAGUAGGCCCUUUUCCCAUAAGAAUCCUGGAAACCGAGCCCAGCAGCUAGCCCUUAUAUAAUUCACGUUAUUAGAAACAGCUUGGGCCAUAGUAUAGCAAUCUUCAUGGAAGCCUAUACUUCUCAAGGCGGAAUCUGUUUGAUUAUAAAUAAGUUCAGAUUGCUUCAAUAAAUUUUAGCCAAAAAAAAAAAAAAAUUUCUCACUUCAUUCGCCUUUCUCUUGCGUAAAAACACUUCAGUUCACAUGUUGCUUUAUACUCGGAUAGAUUAGAUUAUUUGAAUUUAAGAAUUGGAUCAAGAUUUUUGUUGGUCUUUUCAGUUCUUUGAGCUGACACAAUCCUUGCUUGGCGGCUAUAAACAAACGUCUUUCCUUUUCAGCUGUUACCUUAAUCAAACUACAGUCCAAUUGGGAGUUGUUUUGUGUUGAUUUAAAAAAUCAAUAAUUGGGUGCGUGGAAAGCAAGAAAGGAAAAAAAAAAUAUAUAUAUAUAUAUAUAAACGUAAAUAAAAUGAAUCAGAUCAAUAAUUGAGUGCGUGAAAAGCAAGAAAGGAAAAAAUAUAUAUAUAUAUAUAAACAUAAAUAAAGUGAAUCAGAUCAUUCAUUAAAUUUGGGUUUAGAAUUGAGUUUUUCCCACUUUUUAAAUUUUGAUUCAAAACAAAUUAAUCAAAAAUUGUUUAGUCUCUUUCAUGGAAUAUUGUUGAAACUUGAAAUGUAAAACAAUUUUAGAAUAUUUAAGCAUCAAACAAAAUUAGUAAACAACUGGCUCUGACAUAAGACGGUAAAAAGCAGCCUGGUUUCAAACAAAGAGAAAAGAUAGGAAACCAAAAGUUGAUGUGAUAAUUUAAAAUAUAAUAAAAUAUUAUAAUAUAAAAAUAUAAAUAUAAUGUGAAUUAAAAUUUUAAUAAAAAUUAUAUAUAAAUUUAUUAAAAAUAAAAAUUUUAUAUUUUAUAUUUUUAAUGUUGAUAUAAGUCGUAGCAUAAUUUUUAUGUAAAUUAUAACAAAAAUAUAUAAAUUAUAAAUAUUUUAUAUAAUAUAAAUAAUAAGCUUUUAAAGUUUAAAAACCAUAACAAUAUUAGAUAUUUGAAAAUUAAUCAAAUAAUUUUUUGGGAAAAAAUAUCAUGAGCCAACAAUUACAUUUAAUUUAAUAUCAAUGAAAGCGACUUAAAUUUCAUCAGAUAAUAUUGAUUGAUUUUCCGAAAAAUUAAAAAAAAAAAAAGACAAUCUAAUAAAUUAGGUCAUUGUCAUAAUGUCAUGUAACAACACAUCCCACCAAUACCACACGUUUGUCACAUGCUGAGAGUUUAAGCGUUGUUUCUUGCCUGAGGUCGGACGGUUGUUAAACUUAAACUCCCAACAUUUGUCACGCGCUGGAAGCUUAAGCUUUGUCUCUUUCCUAAGAUUGUAGGUUGCUAAACUUAAGCUUCUAACUCGUGACACGUUCGUGAUUUAAAGACAAUUUUGUAAAGUAGAAUGUUCAAAUCUCUUGCGCAUCAAGCAAUUUUUGUUAAUAAUCACUGUUUCCAUAACAGUCAACUUUUAUCAAUUUAAUUCCCUGAUUGCUCUGGGACACUCUCAAAACCGUGGGUAUGAAGACUGUUCUAUCAUAACUGUAUUUUCGGAGAGGGUUCACUCAGAAAGCUUAACAGCUCAACCUUUAUAACCGGAGGAGCAUCUUCAGAUUUGUUUGUUAAAACUAUGGAAUUAUCCAGGUUCUCUACUUAGCUCGUAGACUACCUUCUUUUCAGUUUUGGUUCUUUCAAUUCUUUCCUUUAUAUCUCUUCAACCCAAUGUUAGCCAAUUAAUUUCUUGAUUUCCUAUCUUGUAAUAUUUAUUGUCUCUUCUAUUUUUCCUAACGAGUCUUUGCAAUCAACCAGAGUGUGUCAGUUUUUAGUUUUUCUUUUUUUUUUCAAUCCAGUUUCGUUAAAUAUUUUUUAUCAGAUUAGGUUUCUAACUUUCUAUGGAUACCCUUUUCCAAGAUUUUCCUGCUUCCAUGUAUGGGUUCAAAUCAGAUAAUGACUCAGUGCCAAUGUAUUCAAAUCACAACCUUGUUAAUGGGUUUAAAGAGAGCAUUGAGCAAAAUUUUCCAAGUCCGCCUUCGCUUCCUUCUAGUCCAGAGUCUCCUGUUGAUUCUGAUUCAUCAUCAGGCACGAGUUCAGUUGGACAUCCUCUUGACAAUGUUCCUUUUGCCAAUGAAAUGCUCAAGUACAUAAAUGAGAUGCUAAUGGAAGAAGACCUGGAGGAAAAAACAUGCAUGUUGCAGGAUUGCUUAGCUCUCCAAGCUGCUGAAAAAUCAUUCUAUGAAGUCCUUGGCCACGAGUAUCCACUAUCAGCCGAUCCUAUAUCUCCAUGUACGGGUCAAAAUUGUUAUAAACCAGAUGAUAAUCUCAGCCAGAGCAGAAGUAUUUGUAGCAGUAUCAACUAUACUACUGCUACCAACUCGGUUGAAUGGAGUGGGAUAUAUAGUCCAGGUGAAUUCGAGUCCUCUUACAUUCAAACUUCUCUUAUUGAUUCUCUUGAAAGAACCUCUUUAGUGCCGAAUUUACAAAGAGAGACCACGAUAGAGCCUUUUAGGCACUUCAGAAGUGAGAUUGGGGAAGCCAGUAAGCCCUCUCUCAUUGGUGAUAAAGUGAAUUUGGCUCCAGAAAGCAACCUAUCAACGCCUUCUGUUCCUAAUGGAAGGUAUCAAUCACCAUUAGGGUCAAGGGGAAGGAAAAAUUAUCAGCGUGAGGAUGAUGAUCAUUUGGAAGAAGGUAGGAGCAGCAAGCAAUCUGCACUUUCUCUUGAAGAUUCAGAGCAGUCAGAGAUGUUCGACGAUUUACUGCUUUGCAAGGGUGAAAAUGAGGACUCUCCAAAAUGUUCUCUUUAUGGGAACUAUCAGCAGAAUGGACAGCUAAAAGGGCUAAAGAAAAAAGGCAAGAAGAGUGAAGUGGUGGAUUUAUGGAGUCUCCUUACUCAAUGUGCACAAGCUGUAGCCAUCAAUGACCAAAGGACUGGCAAUGAGCUGCUGAAACAGAUAAGUCAGCACUCUUCUUCUUCUGGAGAUGGAACCCAAAGAUUGGCACAUUACUUUGCUAAUGCCCUUAUGACGCGUUUGGCUGGCAUGGGAGCACCAUCGUAUUCACCUCUGCUAAGCAGCAGGACUUCGGCUGCUGAUAUCCUAAAAGCUUACGGAGUGUAUGCUUUAGCUUGCCCCUUUAAGAAAAUGUCAAAUUUCUACGCAAAUAAAAAGAUAAUGGAAGUGGCAAAAAAGGAAACCUCGAUCCACAUCGUUGAUUUUGGCAUUUGCUAUGGGUUUCAAUGGCCUUGCCUCAUCCAGCGUCUCUCAGCAAGGGCUGGUGGACCUCCCAAGCUUCGUAUUACCGGUAUUGAGUUUCCACAACCAGGUUUCCGACCUGCAGAAAGGGUGGAAGAGACGGGGCGCCGCUUGAAAAGGUAUUGUGAGAGAUUCAAUGUCCCUUUUGAGUACUACGUGAUAGCAAAGAAAUGGGAAACUAUAGAACUUGAGGAAAU